rnacentral:rRNA from 1 species
UCGGGAAUUUUGGGCAAUGGGCGAAAGCCUGACCCAGCAACGCCGCGUGAAGGAUGAAAUCCCUCGGGAUGUAAACUUCGUAAGAACAGGAAGAAUAAGUAGGGGACAAUACCCCCUAUGAUGACGGUACUGUUUGUAAGCUCCGGCUAACUCCGUGCCAGCAGCCGCGGUAAUACGGGGGGAGCAAGCGUUGUUCGGAUUUACUGGGCGUAAAGGGCGCGUAGGCGGCCACGACAAGUCACUUGUGAAAUCUCCGGGCUUAACCCGGAACGGUCAAGUGAUACUGUCGGGCUAGAGUGCAGAAGGGGCAACUGGAAUUCUCGGUGUAGCGGUGAAAUGCGUAGAUAUCGAGAGGAACACCUGCGGCGAAGGCGGGUUGCUGGGCUGACACUGACGCUGAGGCGCGAAAGCCAGGGGAGCGAACGG